UCCAGACUCCUACGGGAGGCAGCAGUGGGGAAUAUUGCACAAUGGGCGCAAGCCUGAUGCAGCCAUGCCGCGUGUAUGAAGAAGGCCUUCGGGUUGUAAAGUACUUUCAGCGGGGAGGAAGGGAGUAAAGUUAAUACCUUUGCUCAUUGACGUUACCCGCAGAAGAAGCACCGGCUAACUCCGUGCCAGCAGCCGCGGUAAUACGGAGGGUGCAAGCGUUAAUCGGAAUUACUGGGCGUAAAGCGCACGCAGGCGGUUUGUUAAGUCAGAUGUGAAAUCCCCGGGCUCAACCUGGGAACUGCAUCUGAUACUGGCAAGCUUGAGUCUCGUAGAGGGGGGUAGAAUUCCAGG
rnacentral:rRNA from 1 species